rnacentral:rRNA from 1 species
CCAGCAGCCGCGGUAAUUCCAGCUCCAAUAGUGUAUAUUAAAGUUGUUGCAGUUAAAAAGUUCGUAGUCGAAUAUCGUAUUGUGUUUAUCGAUUCUAACUAAUGAAAUUAGGAUCAGGAUAAAUGCAAAUCAUCUAUUAUACGAAAAAAAACAUUUUUUUUUUCGUAUAAUUUUUUUUUACCGUGAAUAAAAUAGAGUGUUCAUGGCAGGUUAGUAAAGCUUUUAUACGUCAGCACGGGAUAAUAGAAUAAAAUUUUGGGUUUUAUUUUAUUGGAUUUUUAAAAGCCAGAGUAAAGAUUAAUAGGAAUAGUUGGGGGCACUCGUACUCCGUUGUUAGAGGUGAAAUUCUAGGAUCAACGGAAGACGAACAACUGCGAAAGCAUCUGCCAAGGAUGUUUUCAUUGAUCAAGAACGAAAGU